rnacentral:rRNA from 1 species
AGAGUUUGAUCAUGGCUCAGAACGAACGCUGGCGGCAGGCUUAACACAUGCAAGUCGAACGGGGUAGCAAUACCUAGUGGCGCACGGGUGAGUAACGCGUGGGAACGUGCCCUUUGGUACGGAAUAACAGCGGGAAACUGCUGCUAAUACCGUAUAUUCUCUUCGGAGGAAAGAUUUAUCGCCAAGGGAUCGGCCCGCGUAAGAUUAGCUAGUUGGUGAGGUAAUGGCUCACCAAGGCUACGAUCUUUAGCUGGUCUGAGAGGAUGAUCAGCCACACUGGAACUGAGACACGGUCCAGACUCCUACGGGAGGCAGCAGUGGGGAAUAUUGGACAAUGGGGGCAACCCUGAUCCAGCCAUGCCGCGUGAGUGAAGAAGGCCUUCGGGUUGUAAAGCUCUUUAGCCAGGGAAGAUAAUGACGGUACCUGGAAAAUAAGCACCGGCUAACUUCGUGCCAGCAGCCGCGGUAAUACGAAGGGUGCUAGCGUUGUUCGGAAUCACUGGGCGUAAAGCGUGCGUAGGCGGCAAAGUAAGUCUGAUGUGAAAGCCCGGGGCUCAACCCCGGAUGUGCGUUGGAAACUGCUUUGCUGGAGUUCGGAAGGGGUAAGUGGAAUUCCUAGUGUAGAGGUGAAAUUCGUAGAUAUUAGGAGGAACACCAGUGGCGAAGGCGACUUACUGGUCCGAUACUGACGCUAAAACACGAAAGCGUGGGGAGCAAACAGGAUUAGAUACCCUAGUAGUCC